rnacentral:rRNA from 1 species
AUUGAACGCUGGCGGCAGGCUUAACACAUGCAAGUCGAGCGGAGCGAGGGUGCUUGCACCUUAGCUUAGCGGCGGACGGGUGAGUAAUGCUUAGGAAUCUGCCUAUUAGUGGGGGACAACAUUCCGAAAGGAAUGCUAAUACCGCAUACGCCCUACGGGGGAAGGCAGGGGAUCUUCGGACCUUGCGCUAAUAGAUGAGCCUAAGUCGGAUUAGCUAGUUGGUGGGGUAAAGGCCUACCAAGGCGACGAUCUGUAGCGGGUCUGGGAGGAUGAUCCGCCACACUGGGACUGAGACACGGCCCAGACUCCUACGGGAGGCAGCAGUGGGGAAUAUUGGGCAAUGGGCGGAAGCCUGAUCCAGCCAUGCCGCGUGUGUGAAGAAGGCCUUUUGGUUGUAAAGCACUUUAAGCGAGGAGGAGGCUACUUAGAUUAAUACUCUGGGAUAGUGGACGUUACUCGCAGAAUAAGCACCGGCUAACUCUGUGCCAGCCGCCGCAGUAAAAC